rnacentral:lncRNA from 1 species
GUUUGUACACCUGUUUUUGUACAACUGAUGUUUAUUUUAGCGCCAUCUACUGUCAGAGAGUGAAGUUACAUUUUCAAUUACCCCAUUCAAUGCUUUCUUGAAGUGUCAAGUGGAAUGUGACACUAAAAACUGUAUUCUGAUGCUAUACAGCAGUGUUUCUCAUCUAUGUUCCUGGAGGCACCAGCUCUGCACAUUUCCCUGUCUCCUUAAUCUAACACACCUGAUUCAGAUCAUUAGCUCAUUAGCAAAGACUGAAAGACAUGUAAUGGGUGUGACAGACAAAGGUGACAUCCAUGUAGUAUUUGGCGGCCCUCCAGGAAAGUUGGUUGGGAAACACAACUGUAAAGUACGUUAUAAUUAAAAGCGAAAGUGUUUCAAAGUUCUCUAAACGUCGUGCUUAUAGAUUGAACCACCUGAAUGAGAAUCAGAAAGAGCUUUGCCAGGUGCAACAGUCCAUCCAGUGAGGGCUUUUUUUGCUACACCUCGAGGACGAUCAGAGGAUCCUCGUGUCUGCGAGUAGGUGUGGGAAAGAAAUCUUCACUCACGGCCCAGAAUAACCUCGUCCUCUGGGGAAGAACUUUCCACCUCUCAGUCCUGUUCAGAUGCCAGCCUGAUUUGGGUUGCCAGUGCAGGUGGCCAGAGAAGUUUCACACAUUUCCACAAAAAAAGUAAAGAGAAUGACAAGAACUGACUCUGGACCUGUAAGUUAAGUUUCAUUUUAUUUUAUGAAUGCAUUUUUGUUUUUACAUU